rnacentral:tRNA from 1 species
GGGGGUGUAGCUCAGUGGGCAGAGCAUUUUCCGUCUGCCGCCUCCUUGCCCGGCGACGGGCCGAAGGUGAAUGGUUACCGGUCGCAGGUUCGAAUCCUGUCGCCUCCGCCA